rnacentral:rRNA from 1 species
GAUGAACGCUGGCGGCGUGCUUAACACAUGCAAGUCGAACGAAGCACUUACAAUUGAUUCUUCGGAUGAAAGAGUUUGUGACUGAGUGGCGGACGGGUGAGUAACGCGUGGGUAACCUGCCUCAUACAGGGGGAUAACAGUUAGAAAUGACUGCUAAUACCGCAUAAGCGCACAGUACCGCAUGGUACAGUGUGAAAAACUCCGGUGGUAUGAGAUGGACCCGCGUCUGAUUAGCUAGUUGGUGGGUAACGGCCUACCAAGGCGACGAUCAGUAGCCGGCCUGAGAGGGUGAACGGCCACAUUGGGACUGAGACACGGCCCAAAACUCCUACGGGAGGCAGCAGUGGGGAAUAUUGCACAAUGGGGGAAACCCUGAUGCAGCGACGCCGCGUGAGUGAAGAAGUAUUUCGGUAUGUAAAAGCUCUAUCAGCAGGGAAGAAAAAUGACGGUACCUGACUAAGAAAGCCCCGGCUAACUACGUG